rnacentral:rRNA from 1 species
AGAGUUUGAUCCUGGCUCAGAUUGAACGCUGGCGGCAGGCCUAACACAUGCAAGUCGAACGGUAACAUUUCUGGCUUGCUAGAAGAUGACGAGUGGCGGACGGGUGAGUAAUGCUUGGGAACUUGCCUUUGCGAGGGGGAUAACAGUUGGAAACGACUGCUAAUACCGCAUAAUGUCUUCGGACCAAACGGGGCUUCGGCUCCGGCGCAAAGAGAGGCCCAAGUGAGAUUAGCUAGUUGGUAAGGUAACGGCUUACCAAGGCGACGAUCUCUAGCUGUUCUGAGAGGAAGAUCAGCCACACUGGGACUGAGACACGGCCCAGACUCCUACGGGAGGCAGCAGUGGGGAAUAUUGCACAAUGGGGGAAACCCUGAUGCAGCCAUGCCGCGUGUGUGAAGAAGGCCUUCGGGUUGUAAAGCACUUUCAGUUGUGAGGAAAAGUUAGUAGUUAAUACCUGCUAGCCGUGACGUUAACAACAGAAGAAGCACCGGCUAACUCCGUGCCAGCAGCCGCGGUAAUACGGAGGGUGCGAGCGUUAAUCGGAAUUACUGGGCGUAAAGCGCACGCA